rnacentral:rRNA from 1 species
GACGAACGCUGGCGGCGUGCUUAACACAUGCAAGUCGAGCGGAAAGGCCCUUCGGGGGUACUCGAGCGGCGAACGGGUGAGUAACACGUGAGUAAUCUGCCUCUGGCUUCGGGAUAGCCACCGGAAACGGUGAUUAAUACCGGAUAUGACGCAUCACUGCAUGGUGUGUGUGUGGAAAGUUUUUUCGGCCAGGGAUGGGCUCGCGGCCUAUCAGCUUGUUGGUGGGGUAAUGGCCUACCAAGGCUUCGACGGGUAGCCGGCCUGGGAGGGUGACCGGCCACACUGGGACUGAGACACGGCCCAGACUCCUACGGGAGGCAGCAGUGGGGAAUAUUGGACAAUGGGCGGAAGCCUGAUCCAGCAACGCCGCGUGAGGGAUGACGGCCUUCGGGUUGUAAACCUCUUUCAGUACCGACGAAGCGAGAGUGACGGUAGGUACAGAAGAAGCACCGGCCAACUACGUGCCAGCAGCCGCGGUAACAC